GCAUCUCGCUCUUGGAACAGCAGCCCUUCUCUUCAGCCCCUUCAGCCAUCUCAUUCCUUCAAUCUCCUUUACUGUCUGCUUGUUUCCUUGAGAGCUCACAUUGCAGCUCACUCUUCCAGGGACCAGAGUCUUCCCCGGCGAUGCUAAAUUUGGACUCUACUGCUCUGCCUUCGUAUCUCUGUGAAUAAGUCGUGUGAUUUUUUUUUGUCUCAAUCUUUCAAAAGGCUUUGCAAUAAUGAUUCAACUCAGUGUAUGUGGUAUCAAUGGAGCAUACAAACUCACCAUGGAGUUCACGCGUGUCCAAGCAAUUAGGAGGCUAACCACCCUGUGAAAAACACAUAUCCCAGAGGCAACGAAAUUAGCAUCUAGGCGGCAGCAUCUUUAUAAUGAAGAUUUAAUCUGAUCUUUUCGAAGACGAUAUAAGCAGUCUGCACACUUCUUAAGGAAGUACCAGUGUUCCUUUAUAAGAUGGCUGCAAAUCUGUUCUAAAAUAGUGUCUGCUACUUCAGUUAAAGUUCAAGGAAAAUUGUCCUUAAAAAGAAAACAAAUUGAAUACCAUAAGAUACAGAUACCUAAGACAUCACAGGAAGAAGUCAGUUUUGACUUAAGGAGUCCUGACUGGAAGAGGCAACCUUCUAGUGAACUGUUCCUCUGGGCAGUGUUGGGCCUUAUUCGUCUGGAUACUGAGGCCUAGUGGGGAAGCCUGAGUCUUUGCUCGAGUUUAGAGACCUGUCUUGUUCACUUCCAUAGAUCAUCUGGCCAAGAAGUUCUAGGAAUCCUCCUGUCUCUGCCUCCCAAGC
rnacentral:lncRNA from 1 species